UCUACGAUUUUUUCAUUGCACGUUCCGUGCACAAAAACCUAUAGUAAAUAUUGUGACGUGGCACAAUUUUGCACGUUAUUUAUAAUUGAGUUUUGUUAUAAACAAAAUAAACAUCCUUGCGCCAAUGUUGAUGGCUGCAGCAAUUACUCAAUUCUAGUCAAUUUGUUUAUUUAUAGAAUUUAUUUGUUUAUAUUAUUGUAUUCCCUUUCACGAAAACACUUCCCUUUGAAUUCGAAUUUGAGAUAUUUCCCGGCUAUCGUCUUGCAAGCAGAAAGGAUGAUCAUCACGUCUGCGCAGAUUCGACUUUCCGUUCACUCACAGCAGAAAACUACAACGUCAACCAAAAUAAAAAUCGAAUUGACUCGAUAUACCUGUCACUUUUAAAUUCAACCUACACAAAAGUCAUCUCACAAAUAACCCUUUGAGUAAAUUAGAAUUAUUUUCUACAUUUACCAGAUUUUACUGGAAUCUCAAAAAUGUUAAGAGAUUGACUAUUGAACAGGAUGGUCCCUGUCAUUUCUCUAUUUCGUAAAGAGACACCUUUUGCCCAGGCCCGAAUUCUCAUGUCACUAACCUCAACUUUUCCCCUUUUUGAUUUUGAUUAAUUUUGACUAAUUACCUUUCCCUUUACGAGUGACAAUAAGAGAAUUUUGGAGGUUGACGAUAAGGAAGAUAAGAAUUAAAAAGUAAAAAUCUCAGGAAGCGAGAAAUUACUAACUUAAAUUAUACCCCGGUGUCACUAUUUUCGAAAGUAAUUACGCUCCUGUUUUCGGCGGAGUAAUACAAGUUUUGGGACCAUGGUAACCGGCGGGGUGAACGGAGGGGAGGAAUCACGGCAGCAUGCUCGCAAGGAAAAUCCUAAUCGCUCUCUCUGGAUCUGACCGCCUUCGAAGGAAGCUAUUUUCAAAGAAGUUCUCAUCCAAAUUUUCCAGUUUUCCUUUUUGUUAUAAUUUGUGUGUGUGCUGACGCUGGAAAUCUCUCGAGUGGAGCGUCGCAUAGCAAAAUCCCUUUUACCGAGCGCGCCGGUCCGUUCCGCAACGACUACCUGCGUCUGAUGGCUACCUGUUUGGGCAGAAACUGCUUAGAUGAUGAUGAUACUUAUACAGAAGGAUGUCUAUAUGAUGCUUCAAUUACAGAUUAACGAUUAAAUUUUUCACCCUAUGUGCUACGUGCCGCGGAGCUCUUUAAAAAAAGCAUCUUAUUAAAAUGUCCGUAAUUCCGCCAUUUUGUAUUUUUUGUUGUUGAAAAU